rnacentral:tRNA from 1 species
GGCUCAGACGGUAAAGCGUCUGCCUGCAAUGCAGGAGACCCGGGUUCGAUUCCUGG